CCUACGGGUGGCAGCAGUGGGGAAUAUUGCGCAAUGGGCGAAAGCCUGACGCAGCGACGCCGCGUGAGGGAUGAAGGUCUUCGGAUCGUAAACCUCUGUCAGCAGGGAAGAACGGUCACUGUGCUAAUCAGCAGUGAAUUGACGGUACCUGCAAAGGAAGCACCGGCUAACUCCGUGCCAGCAGCCGCGGUAAUACGGAGGGUGCGAGCGUUAAUCUGAAUUACUGGGCGUAAAGCGCUCGUAGGCGGUAUGUCAAGUCAAUGGGGAAGUCCCCAGGCUCAACGUGGGAACUGCCUGUGAAACUGGCAAACUGGAGUGUGUGAGAGGAUAGUGGAAUUGCAGGUGUAGGGGUGAAAUCCGUAGAUAUCUGAAGGAACAUCAGUGGCGAAGGCGACUAUCUGGCACAUAACUGACGCUGAGGAGCGAAAGCGUGGGUAGCAAACAGGAUUAGAUACCCUUGUAGUC
rnacentral:rRNA from 1 species